UUUCAAACAUGGCUUCUAACCGGAAAGUUCCACGAGCCGGACUUUGGUCGAACCUCUCACCGGAAACGCUCUGCAACAUCGGAAAAUGCCUUGAAAGCUGAAUUGACGUUUUCCGAUGUCGUUCCGUUUGCCGUAAUUGGCGAGCUUCAAUAAACCCUAAACCUAACCCUAGCUAUUUAUCCCCCUUUCUUCCUCGCAAAAUCUCAAAUUCCACUCUUCCAUUCAUCAAUCGCUCUAAUGAAACCCUAAUUCUCUUCGCCCGAAUUGUAUUUCUUGUUCAACCGAUUUCCUAUUCAAGUGACCGCAGCAGUUGGAUUUUAACUGUGGAGGAAGUUGUACCAGGUAAGCUUCGAAUCAUAAACCCGCUUUCUAAGGAUCCUGUUAAGAAUUUACCUUCGAAUUUCCCCAAAUAUCUGAACUUAUUGGAUUUUAGAGUGACUGAAAUUGCUAAAAGUUAUGGGUUUAAGUAUGCAAGUGAUUGGAAUGAUGUAAAUGAUGUUCAUGUGGUUUUGUGUUCUGAUUCGACUGCUAUGGUGUUGUAUGGUGAAGGGACUCUAAUUGGGGUGAGGUUGAGAAAUGGGAAUUGGGGAUUUGUUUGCGAAAGUUUGAUUACUAGAUUUUCUGAUGUGAUUAGUUUUAAGGGAAGUGUUUGUGCUGUUGAUUUCAAAGGGAAUUUGCAUUCUGUUGAUUACAAAACAUUGAAGGUUAAUAAGACGGUUACUGUGAAAUUGCCCGGUCCUGAUUCAUGGAAUCGGAAAAGAUUGGUGGCAAAUGAGGGGAAACUCUGGUUAGUAACUUAAUAGGUCUUGUAAUGGUGAUGAUGAAAAGAAUUCUAUGUUGGAAAAGAAUCAAUUUAAGGUAUACCGUGUGGGCGAGUUGCAUAAAGAAUCGGUGAUGGAAACAAGUUUGCGAGGUUGGUCACUUUUUGUUAGUCUACAUUGGUGCUUUAUUGUCUGUGCUCAAGAUCUUAAUAUACGGGAGUAUCUAUUUCGAGGAGAGCCAGCAGUGAAUGUGUUCUCUUAUAAGCCGAAAUACUCUUAUUUUCUGAAAUGAGCUGAAAUGGUAUGAAAUGAAUGGGGAUUACCUUGUUUUCUCACAAAAUUGCUUUGAAUCCUCUGCUGCGCCUCUGCUGCACAGUCUCCAGGUGUUUAAAGAAGCAAGUGUAAAUCUUCCUAUUGGUGUUUUCUAUUUUAGAAUGGAGGAUACAGAUAGGAUCGAAUCAGUUUGUGGUACCAUUGCUGGAGCGCUAUGGCCACCCCCUACCUGGUUCUUGCCAGAUUUGUACACUUCAAGGAUCAUGAGGAGAAUGAAGGAUCGGAUUCCUGGGUCCUAGAUGUUUCAACUGACGACAUCAAGGGAGAAUUGCUCACGUCUUUGACUGUUGCCCCUUUUACUGAUGCUGGAAAUAGUAACAAACAAGACCAAAUGCUACGGGUAUAAAUUUGCAUACAGCUCUUGGGGAUUUCCAUGCUUUGAGAAUAUAGUACAAAUGUGAUCUUAUCAACAUGAGCUAUGGUGAAGCUUCCUACCUUUUGUCUGGUUUUCUAUGUCAAGGGAGUACAAUUGGCAGUAAUGACAUGAUAGUUAGGGCCUUAGAGUCAAUAGCAACAGUAGUGAUUAUCCUCCAAAGUGGCUCAGGACAAUUGUUGAAUGAAUCCAAGCUGAGUUCUUGAGCUCUACAUUUUCUGACUUUUAAAACAUGCAUUUUGAAUUGGUGGUUGGUACCGUUUGUUGAAAAGGCUUUGGUUGUUCAUAAGAGCUCUCUGAAGGAAUUUGAUUAGGCCUAAACACUAGCUGAGGAAUGAAACUGAUGGUUCUUGCUGAAUUACCCAAACUGGAUGAAGUAAAGAAAGACAUGAAAUCUGUUUUUGUAAUCUGAUGGUCCUAGUUUGGACUCUGUUGAUCUUAGCCUAAGUUUUAUUUUUGAAACAUUUAGGAGAGGGAUAUGUUAACUUAUUGGUGACUUGAUCUGUAAUCUUGAAUGUUGGAGUUAUGAGGAAAUUGUUACUUUUAUGUA